CUCAAAUGUGGAGGUAUUACAUUACGUAAUUGUUAUGAUCCACUAACUCAUUCAUGUGGUAAUUUUCUCAUUAUUCAUUUGACAUAUAGUAAUGUAGCAGUUAGUAUUUUUUAGAGAGCUUAAAACGUUAGGUAUUGACAUAUAAAAAUGUUCUUAAACUGUCAAACUUUAUAAAAAUAUUUUAUCUGAAUUUUUUUUUGUUUCAAUUAAUUUGUUCAUUCUCAAAAUGUUAGACACGCUGUGUGGGAGCCAAGCCCUGUGCUAAGGACUGUGGAUUCACAGACCAAAAAGAACUAGUCCCUCCUCUCCAGGAACCAGAAACAGAGAAAGGGAGAAAGAAGCAGACAGAGAAAAGGAGAGAAUUGAUAAGGAAGUAAAAAAUGAAGUUAACUCAUCCAUGGAGAUCUAAUGGGGGGUCUCAUGCCCCCUGGGUGCCAUAGAGAGCAGAGGAGGCAGAAACCAGAGAGAAAUGUCAGCUCUGAAAUGACUCAAGGUACUUAGGAAUGUUGAAAAAUCACGGUUCCUGGGACAGGGAUAGUAAGUGACCAAAAAACUUGCGGAAGAAGCAAGACAUAAAAGGCUAUCCAGACCAUUCUCUGGUGCCUGGAUUUCAUCCUUAUAUCAUGGGAAAUCCCUGGCAAUAUUUAUGCUAAACAACUGUGUGUCAAACCAGAACUUUUUACCCUGUACCAUAGUCUAUUGUGUUACUGAAUGAAGUUCAUUCAUAGUAAUGAGAAGUCAAUGGUAGUACAGAAGAUCCUACUGAUUUCCAAAGAUCCUCCUUAUCAUGUCCAUCACUAGCUCUGAGCAUGAUGAGUGCUAUUUUAGACUCAGAAGACGUGGGUAUAAUUGCCAUCCAGUAACUCUGUAGCCUUGGGUAGCCUGGUUGAUUUCUCUGAG
rnacentral:lncRNA from 1 species